rnacentral:rRNA from 1 species
ACGGGAGGCAGCAGUGAGGAAUAUUGGUCAAUGGUCGGAAGACUGAACCAGCCAUGCCGCGUGAAGGAUUAAGGCCCUAUGGGUCGUAAACUUCUUUUGUACGGGAGCAAUAAGAGCCACGUGUGGUUCGAUGAGAGUACCGUACGAAUAAGCAUCGGCUAACUCCGUGCCAGCAGCCGCGGUAAUACGGAGGAUGCAAGCGUUAUCCGGAUUUAUUGGGUUUAAAGGGUGCGUAGGCGGGAUGUUAAGUCAGCGGUGAAAGCGUGUAGCUCAACUAUACCAAGCCGUUGAAACUGGCGUUCUUGAGUGUAAACGAGGUAGGCGGAAUGUGACGUGUAGCGGUGAAAUGCUUAGAUAUGUCACAGAACCCCGAUUGCGAAGGCAGCUUACCAGCAUACAACUGACGCUGAGGCACGAAAGUGCGGGGAUCAAACAGGAUUAGAUACCCUGGUA